rnacentral:rRNA from 1 species
AAUGGAGGGAACUCUGAACCAGCCAUCCCGCGUGAAGGAUGAAGGGGCUCUGCCUUGUAAACUUCUUUUGCAUGGGACGAAAAAACUUAAUUUAUUAAGGACUGACGGUACCAUGAGAAUAAGCACCGGCUAACUCCGUGCCAGCAGCCGCGGUAAUACGGAGGGUGCGANCGUUAUCCGGAAUCACUGGGUUUAAAGGGUGCGUAGGCGGUUUGAUAAGUCAGUGGUGAAAGGCCGUCGCUUAACGAUGGGACUGCCAUUGAUACUGUUAGACUUGAAUCAGGAUGAGGUUGGCGGAAUGUGGCAUGUAGCGGUGAAAUGCUUAGAUAUGCCAUGGAAUACCGAUUGCGAAGGCAGCUGACUGGACCUGAAUUGACGCUGAGGCACGAAAGCGUGGGGAGCGAA